GAUGACAACACUUCACUAUAGCAGCCAAAAAAUUUCGACGAUGUUAUUACAGAGGGGUUUGAAUUUAUGUUUCGCCCAUUAAUGGUACAGUAUUAAAACUUUUGCUUAAGAUACAGUAAAUGUUUCACAUUUGCAUUCCUUUGAAGAAUACUAGUAUUCAAGGCCCAGCAAUACCUUAACAUUUUCAAGACUUUCUAAAUCUUAUACUCUCUAAAACUAAUCACUGUGCAAUACAUGUAGACAUUUGAGGGGUGGAAAUGUACAUGUAAAAUUAUCUUUGUCAGCUUAUAAUUUUUCGACAGGGAAACCUGUAACCGGUUUUACAUCUAACGCCAAAGACCGAAGUUCGUCAACUUCAUCUUGAGUGAGUCUCCAACCCAAUGCACCAGCAAAUUCUUUAGCUUGAUCUGCAUUUUUGGCUCCUGGGAUGGGAAGAACAUUCUCCUGUGCAAUCAACCAAUUCAGGACCACCUGUGGAAGGUAAGAAGACGAGCAAAUGAGUGCAAAAGCAUUUUCCAUGACAACAUUGUCCUGUGCAAUCAACCAAUUCAGGACCACCUGUG
rnacentral:lncRNA from 1 species